UUAUGGCCAUAUCAUGUUCAAACACCAGUUCUUGUACAAUCACCAAAGUUAAGUAAUAUCAAGCCUGGUUAGUACUUAGAUGGGUAACUGCUUGGGAAUACCAAGUACUGUAA